rnacentral:rRNA from 1 species
GACGAACGCUGGCGGCGUGCCUAAUACAUGCAAGUAGAACGCUGAAGAGAGGAGCUUGCUCUUCUUGGAUGAGUUGCGAACGGGUGAGUAACGCGUAGGUAACCUGCCUUGUAGCGGGGGAUAACUAUUGGAAACGAUAGCUAAUACCGCAUAACAAUGGAUGACACAUGUCAUUUAUUUGAAAGGGGCAAUUGCUCCACUACAAGAUGGACCUGCGUUGUAUUAGCUAGUAGGUGAGGUAAUGGCUCACCUAGGCGACGAUACAUAGCCGACCUGAGAGGGUGGACGGGCAAACUGGGACUGAGACACGGCCCAGGAUCCUACGGGGGGCAGCAGUAGGGAAUCUUCGGCAAUGGGGGCAACCCUGACCGAGCAACGCCGCGUGAGUGAAGAAGGUUUUCGGAUCGUAAAGCUCUGUUGUAAGUCAAGAACGGGUGUGAGAGUGGAAAGUUCACACUGUGACGGUAGCUUACCAGAAAGGGACGGCUAACUACGUG